GAUGAACGCUAGCGGCAGGCUUAAUACAUGCAAGUCGUGGGGCAGCAUGAGUAGCAAUACUUGAUGGCGACCGGCAAACGGGUGAGGAACACGUACACAACCUUCCUUCAAGCGGGGAAUAGCCCAGAGAAAUUUGGAUUAAUACCCCAUAAUAUAUUUGAUAAGGCAUCUUAUUAAUAUUAAAGCUUCGGCACUUGAUGAUGGGUGUGCGGCUGAUUAGAUAGUUGGCGGGGUAACGGCCCACCAAGUCUACGAUCAGUAGCUGAUGUGAGAGCAUGAUCAGCCACACGGGCACUGAGACACGGGCCCGACUCCUACGGGAGGCAGCAGUAAGGAAUAUUGGACAAUGGACGAAAGUCUGAUCCAGCCAUGCCGCGUGAAGGAUUAAGGUCCUCUGGAUUGUAAACUUCUUUAUAUGGGACGAAAAGGGCAAUUCUUGUUCACUUGACGGUACCAUAUGAAUAAGCACCGGCUAACUCCGUGCCAG
rnacentral:rRNA from 1 species